rnacentral:rRNA from 1 species
ACGCUGGCGGCGUGCCUAACACAUGCAAGUCGAACGAAGCAUUUGGAGCUGAUCUCUUCGGAGUGACGCGCCUUAUGACUUAGUGGCGGACGGGUGAGUAACACGUGAGCAACCUGCCUCUCAGAGUGGAAUAACAGUUGGAAACGGCUGCUAAUACCGCAUAACGUCAUUUUGCCGCAUGACAGAGUGACCAAAGAUUUAUCGCUGAGAGAUGGGCUCGCGUCCGAUUAGGUAGAUGGUGGGGUAACGGCCUACCAUGCCGACGAUCGGUAGCCGGACUGAGAGGUUGAUCGGCCACAUUGGGACUGAGACACGGCCCAGACUCCUACGGGAGGCAGCAGUGGGGGAUAUUGCACAAUGGGCGCAAGCCUGAUGCAGCAACGCCGCGUGCGGGAAGACGGCCUUCGGGUUGUAAACCGCUGUCCUUGGGGAAGAAACAAAUGACGGUACCCAAGAAGGAAGCCACGGCUAACUACGUG